UACGGAGGAGGCAAGCGUUAUCCGGAAUUAUUGGGCGUAAAGCGUCCGUAGGAGGUGAUUCAAGUCAGCGGUUAAAGCGCGGGGCUUAACUUCAUACAGGCCGUUGAAACUGGAUUGCUAGAGUGCGGUAGGGGUCGAGGGAAUUCCCAGUGUAGCGGUGAAAUGCGUAGAUAUUGGGAAGAACACCGGUGGCGAAAGCGCUCGGCUGGGCCUGCACUGACACUGAGGGACGAAAGCUAGGGGAGCGAAAGGG
rnacentral:rRNA from 1 species